rnacentral:rRNA from 1 species
GGACGAACGCUGGCGGCGUGCUUAACACAUGCAAGUCGAACGAUGAAGCCCUUCGGGGUGGAUUAGUGGCGAACGGGUGAGUAACACGUGGGCAAUCUGCCCUGCACUCUGGGACAAGCCCUGGAAACGGGGUCUAAUACCGGAUAUGACUGUCCACCGCAUGGUGGAUGGUGUAAAGCUCCGGCGGUGCAGGAUGAGCCCGCGGCCUAUCAGCUUGUUGGUGAGGUAGUGGCUCACCAAGGCGACGACGGGUAGCCGGCCUGAGAGGGCGACCGGCCACACUGGGACUGAGACACGGCCCAGACUCCUACGGGAGGCAGCAGUGGGGAAUAUUGCACAAUGGGCGAAAGCCUGAUGCAGCGACGCCGCGUGAGGGAUGACGGCCUUCGGGUUGUAAACCUCUUUCAGCAGGGAAGAAGCGAAAGUGACGGUACCUGCAGAAGAAGCGCCGGCUAACUACGUGCCAGCAGCCGCGGUAAUACGUAGGGCGCAAGCGUUGUCCGGAAUUAUUGGGCGUAAAGAGCUCGUAGGCGGCUUGUCACGUCGGUUGUGAAAGCCCGGGGCUUAACCCCGGGUCUGCAGUCGAUACGGGCAGGCUAGAGUUCGGUAGGGGAGAUCGGAAUUCCUGGUGUAGCGGUGAAAUGCGCAGAUAUCAGGAGGAACACCGGUGGCGAAGGCGGAUCUCUGGGCCGAUACUGACGCUGAGGAGCGAAAGCGUGGGGAGCGAACAGGAUUAGAUACCCUGGUAGUCCACGCCGUAAACGGUGGGCACUAGGUGUGGGCAACAUUCCACGUUGUCCGUGCCGCAGCUAACGCAUUAAG